UUAGGAAUCUUCCCCAAUGGCGAAAGCCUUAGGGAGCGACACUGCGUGAAGGAUGACAGCCUUCGGGUUGUAAACUUCUGAACGAGGGACGACGGUACCUCGCUAACAGCACCGGCUAACUCCGUGCCAGCAGCCGCGGUAAUACGGAGGGUGCAAGCGUUAUCCGGAAUCACUGGGCGUAAAGGGCGCGUAGGCGGUUUACUAAGUCCGAUGUUAAAGACCGGGGCUCAACCCCGAUAGGGCGUUGAAUACUGGUAGGCUUGACGACUGGAGAGGAAAGUAGAAUUACCAGUGUAGCGGUGGAAUGCGUAGAUACUGGUAGGAAUACCCAUUGCGAAGGCAGC
rnacentral:rRNA from 1 species